ACCUCUGAAAUACAAUAAAUCUUUUUUCAAGUCAAAAUCAUUAGUAACUCCCUCAAAUAUUUUGUAAUCAUCAAAAUCAAUUGAUGGAGCAACAAUAUUUUGAUACAUAUUCUCAAAGCAUUGAAAAUUAGAGACAUAUAUUUAAUUCUUAAAUGCUUUCGAUCAUAGUAUCACCAUGAGAAUAGUGAUCGAUCCGGAUAGACCGAUGCACAGA
rnacentral:lncRNA from 1 species